AUUUAACAAAAAAUUCUGUAUAAAUGAAAUACAUUAAAUAUCUAUUUUUUAACAGCUAUUAAAUGACAAUUUUAACAAAACUAAAUGUAAAAAAGUAUUCUUUAUUGACAAAAGUAGCCUCAUUUUCUCUAAUUUUACAAAAAUUGCUUUUGUUAUGGUGAUAUAUCACUGUCAAAUACAUAAAAAUACUGUUAAUAAUACAUUUAAAAAUGUAUAAUUGCAAGAAAAUAUAUGACUAAAGAAAGAAAUAUUUUGUCAUUUUGCAUAAUUUAACCACUACUUUACAUACAUAAACUGAAAAAACACAGGUACUGACUAUCCUAGAGACAGUUAAAAACUAAAUUUAAUCAGAUUUUGACUCACUUUAUCACUACAUUUGUAUUAAUUAAAGUCUGUCCACAGGAUAUUUUUUUAACUAAAGCUCCUCAGUGGAUCGACAGAGGUACAAUUUCUACAUUUUACAAGCAUUUUAACAUUGAGGAAUUUUUUUAGUGGAGUUAGCCUGUGAUUCUUUAGAUUAAAUUAAGUAUUUUUUAAGGUUACUGCUGUGUAAUUUAACUGAUAGACUUAAAUGCCAUUCAUUUUUCUCUCCAUUCUAAAGAAUACUGACAGCUUAAAGGACUUGUUUGGACUAGUUUCCCGCCCUAGUUUGAACAAGCUGGAUGUAUUUUGUUGUUCGCAUGUUACAUGUUUCCGCAGGGUUUGCUGAGGAGCAUUUUACAAACCAGAAUCUACCAAACACACGUAUGCAGAACUUGAUCGGCACAGUCUUCGCUGAUGACUUUAUAUCAUCAGAAGACAUUUGAGUCGGAAAAGACUUCUGAUGAACUUGCUGAGAUUCUCUUGAUUCCUUAAAGGAUCAACAUAGUGUCCACACAAGUCGAACCACUGUGCUUCGUGCACUUCCUGUGCUGCAGAGAAGACACUUCAAGAUUCUUCAAAACAUGUGGGAUAAAUUACUUUAUUCACACAUUUCUAAAUCAUUUAGCCAUUUUUUCAACUUAAAGGAAUACCUCACCCAAAAAUGUAAAUUCUCUCAACAUUUACUCAACCUCGUGCCAUUUCAGACUUUCACCUGCAGAUCACAAACACAUAUUUAUAAGAGUAUUUCAGCUCUGUAAGGCCAUACAAUGCAAGUGAAUGGGCGUCAGAACUUUGAACUCCAAAAAGCAGUUAAAAACAGCAUAAAAGUAAUCCAUAAGACUCCAGUGGUUAAAUCCAUGUCUUCAGAAGUGAUAUAAUUAGUGUGGGUGAGAAACAGAUCAAUUAUUUAAGUCCUUUAUUACUAUAAAUCUCCACCUUCAAAGUUCUGGUCACCAUUCACUUGCAUUGUAUGGAUUUACAGAGCUGAAAUAUUCUUCUAAAAUCUUUGUUUGUGUUCAGCAGAACAAAGAAAGUCAUACACAUCUGGGAUGGCAUGAGGGUGAGUAAAUGUUGAGAAAAUUUUCAUUUUUGGGGGAACUAUCCUUUUAAAGAAGAUGAUUUAUAAAAAAACAAAAAAAACAAACAAACAAACAAACAAACAAAGCUUUUGUCUUCCAUGGAAGAAAUACAGUCAUAUAGGUCUGGAACAAGUGAGUAAAUAAUGACAUAAUUUUUGUGUGAAAUAUUCGUUUAUGUAGGUGUGUAUUUUGAAACAGAUUUUAAUAAACUGUUCUUUAAUUUUGCCACUUUUUUCUAUUUCUGCAUUUCAGGGCUGAAGAUUCAGAAGAGCCACAUGUUGGAUAUUCACCAGUUGCCCUGUUAACAGCAGUCAGAGAACUCACAGAUGCUGCAAUUUACUACAAUCUGGUCAAACAUUUCAUUGUUCUUGAAAGCGAAGUCAUCACACACCUGCCCAGGCUUUUCAGAUUUCUUUUUACGUUUGGACUGAUUUAUGCACUGGAUCUGAGUUACCCAAAAUAGUUUUAAAGACAGGUGGCUUUAUAAGGUUUUAACGUUGAAGGUUUUAACUAAUGCAGCUGUAGACAAUUUAUCCUGUUGCUGUCAAUAUAUAUAUUUUUUUCAGUGUUGUGCCUCAUGUUUUGUUAAUAACUGUACCUUGUCUUUUUAUAUUAAAUGUGUUUACUACCUGCAGUUUGCUUAUUUAUUUUCUUUUUUUAUGUUUAAGUUGCAAAAAUGUCACAUUUAAGUUAAGGAAAUUAAAAAUAAAAAUAAAAAAAAAGUUGCAAAACAUUUUUUGAAGUUAAUACAAAGCAUAUUCAUGAUUUCAAAAACAUAUAUUUUUAAGUUGUAUAAAUAUAUUAAUUAAGUUUGCAGAACUUUAUAUUUUGAGUUGUGAUUAAUUAAAAUAAACAUUAGUUACUGCAUAUUUUGAUAGGACCAAAGUCAUUUCUUUUAAUUUAUAGUUUCUGAGAAAAACAAGUUAUGCAUACUUGAGACUUUGAUACUUGUAAAAGUAAAGGCAAUCAGUUUUUUAAGUUAGUAGAACUUAUACAGGCUUAUAGAGUUUUCGAUUGAGCUUAAAUUUAUUGAACCUGUAUUCCCUUAAGCUUUGAAUGUGGUAUGUACAACAGACUUCAGAACUUUUUUCCAAUAAAUGCAUUAGUUUCAUACCGUGUGCUGCCUCUGUAAUCUCGUUUGACAGUCACCGAAAAAUGAGAAAAUAGAAUUGACAUUUAUAACUGGCAUUAUACCUAGUUCUAGUAACUUGACCUAAUCGACUUCAUCUAACAUGAUAUAAACAUGUAGGCUAAACAAGGCAAUAAGGCUUAAAUAUAGGAGAACAUAACUGAUUCAAGUUAAAUGAAAACCAUUCAUUCAUAUUAAACGAACACCCUUCAUUCAAGUUAAACGAACACCAUUCAUUCAUUUUAAACGAACACCAUUCAUUCAAGUUAGUUUUACAUGGUCUGUUUUAUUGCAUUUUGUUAAAAGAACUUGUUUCAAUCACGUGGAACCACUGCAUGUGUGCGUAUGUGUGUUUGAUAUAAUUUUUUAAUUCAUAUUAUGUAAAGGCAAAAAGGCCAUAGAAUUUUUUUUCAGGGGCGGAAAACAAAAGCUGUUCCCAGAACUAAAACAUUUUAGAGAUUGGUUUGUCAGCUUUAAAAAAUUAUGAACCAGUGAAAAAAGCAACAAAAGUGUUGUGUGAAAAAUAUGCUUAAGCAUUUAAAGCCGUUGCUAAUGAGUUCUUGUAAUAUGCUGAACAAAUAAUUUGUAUGUUGUUUUGUAUGUUGUUUAUGUAAAUAAUAAUAAAUAAAUAAAGAAUCAAUGAGUCGUGGUGUAUUUUUUUAAUUAGUAUUGUGAACUAUUUUCCAAAAUGUUGCCACAGGCAUAAAGUUUUAAUUCUACAGCAUAACCUUUAUGUAAAGAUUUUUUGGGGGGGCAACUGCUGCAACAAUUUCACUAUUUCAGUGAUUUUAAAGGAUCAUGCAGACAAAUCUCAUCCUGCUUCAAUAAGAUAAUUAGUUUAUAUUUUUUUAAAUGAAGAAUGACACAAUGCAAAAGUACAGUUAAUCUACAUUUAGAGAAAGAAAAUGCAUUUAUUUUGACAGUUUAUUAAUGUAUUUGAAUAAUUGUUUUUUUAUUGUUAACAGAUUUUUUUGCAACACUUCUGACAAUUAGUUUAAACCUGGGCUUUCGCAAAGUAAAAUUACAUGUUUUUAUUUUGUGUUUUAUAUAUAAAUGGUCUUAGAUUUACAGUAUUUUUUGUAAUAACAAUAGUAAUUAUCUGUACUUAAGCUUUUCUUUAUCAUUCUUUUAAAGAUAAUCAUUCUGUGUUUUAGAGGUGUAUGACUCUAUUCUAACAAUAUAUGUUAAAAGUAAAAGAUUUCAUGGAAUUAUAGGGAGAUUUCUUGUAGAAUUACAGUAAUAGACGUUAAAUAUGGUAAAGCAAAUUACUGUUUGUUUGUUUUUUACAGUUUAUCUAUGUUUUUAAUCUGACAGUACUUUUCUGUUUUUCAACAGACAUU